rnacentral:rRNA from 1 species
CUACGGGGCGCAGCAGUGAGGAAUUUUGCGCAAUGGGGGAACCCUGACGCAGCAACGCCGCGUGAGUGAUGAAGGCUUUCGGGUCGUAAAGCUCUGUCAAGUGGGAAGAACCUAUGCAGUGUUAAUAUCACUGUAUACUGACGGUACCACUGAAGGAAGCACCGGCUAACUCCGUGCCAGCAGCCGCGGUAAUACGGGGGGUGCAAUCGUUAUUCGGAAUCAUUGGGCGUAAAGGGCACGUAGGCGGCUUGGUAAGUCAGAUGUGAAAGCCCGGGGCUUAACCCCGGAAGUGCAUUUGAUACUGUCAGGCUUGAGUAUGGGAGAGGGAAGUGGAAUUCCUGGUGUAGAGGUGAAAUUCGUAGAUAUCAGGAGGAACACCGGUGGCGAAGGCGACUUCCUGGACCAAUACUGACGCUGAGGUGCGAAGGCGUGGGUAGCAAACAGGAUUAGAUACCCGAGUAGUC